rnacentral:rRNA from 1 species
AUACGUAGGGUGCAAGCGUUAAUCGGAAUUACUGGGCGUAAAGCGUGCGCAGGCGGUUUUGUAAGACAGUGGUGAAAUCCCCGGGCUCAACCUGGGAACUGCCAUUGUGACUGCAAGGCUGGAGUGCGGCAGAGGGGGAUGGAAUUCCGCGUGUAGCAGUGAAAUGCGUAGAUAUGCGGAGGAACACCGAUGGCGAAGGCAAACCCCUGGGCCUGCACUGACGCUCAUGCACGAAAGCGUGGGGAGCAAACAGGAUUAGAUACCCUGGUAGUCCACGCCCUAAACGAUGUCAACUGGUUGUUGGGGAUUUAUUUUCUCAGUAACGAAGCUAACGCGUGAAGUUGACCGCCUGGGGAGUACGGCCGCAAGGUUAAAACUCAAAUGAAUUGACGGGG